rnacentral:rRNA from 1 species
GAUGAACGCUAGCGAUAGGCCUAACACAUGCAAGUCGAGGGGCAUCACAUGAAGUAGCAAUACAGAUGGUGGCGACCGGCGCACGGGUGAGUAACACGUAUGCAACCUGCCUUCAACAAGGGGAUAACCCGUUGAAAGACGGACUAAUACCCUAUAACACAGGGGUCCCGCAUGGGAAUAUUUGUUAAAGGACAACCGGUUGAAGAUGGGCAUGCGUUCCAUUAGCUAGUUGGCGUGGUAACGGCCCACCAAGGCAACGAUGGAUAGGGGAACUGAGAGGUUUAUCCCCCACACUGGUACUGAGACACGGACCAGACUCCUACGGGAGGCAGCAGUGAGGAAUAUUGGUCAAUGGACGCAAGUCUGAACCAGCCACGUCGCGUGAAGGAAGACGGCCCUACGGGUUGUAAACUUCUUUUAUACGGGAAUAAAGUGCCCCACGUGUGGGGUUUUGCAAGUACCGUAUGAAUAAGGAUCGGCUAACUCCGUG